rnacentral:tRNA from 1 species
GCCCAGGUGGCGGAAUUGGUAGACGCGCAUGGUUGAGGGCCAUGUGCCCAUUAUUGGGCGUGAGGGUUCGAGUCCCUCCCUGGGCA